rnacentral:rRNA from 1 species
GACGAACGCUGGCGGCGUGCCUAAUACAUGCAAGUCGACCUUAGGGGCGAACGAGGUAGUAACACGUGGGUAACCUGCCGAUCAGAAGGGGGUAACACGUGGAAACAGGUGCUAAUACCGUAUAAUGCUGGAUGGAGCCGCGGUGCAUUAGCUAGUGGGUGAGGUAACGGCCCACCAAGGCCACGAUGCAUAGCCGACCUGAGAGGGUGAUCGGCCACACUGGGACUGAGACACGGUCCAAACUCCUACGGGAGGCAGCAGUAGGGAAUCUUCGGCAAUGGACGAAAGCCUGACCGAGCAACGCCGCGUGAGUGAAGAAGGUUUUCGGAUCGUAAAACUCUGUUGUUAGGGAAGCGGUACCUAACCAGAAAGCCACGGCUAACUACGUGCCAGCAGCCGCGGUAAUUC